GGAGUCGGACAGGUCAUCGCCGCGAUCAUUGAUCGGGGAGGAAAGUCCGGGCUCCGCAGGGCAGGACGCUGGGUAACCCCCAGGGGGAGUGAUCCCCGUCAAGUGCAACAGAAAGCAGACCGCCUCCGGGAAACCGGAGGUAAGGGUGAAACGGUGGGGUAAGAGCCCACCGGCUGUCGCGGUGACGCGGCAGGCCAGGUGAACUCCGUCCGGAGCAAGACCGAAUAGGACAGCGUUUGAGACCGGCCCGGUCGAGCUGUCGGGUUGGUUGCUUGAACCGGCUGGUAACAGCCGGUCUAGAUGAAUGAUGACCACCCCGAAAGGGGAACAGGACCCGGCUUAUGAUCGGCUCCAACU
rnacentral:RNase_P_RNA from 1 species